GCAAUACGACUUCGAUGAAGAUGAGCCCGCCGCAGCACCACCAACAACAUAUGGCGCUUAUAAGAAAGCUACCUUUGCUGCAGCUAAUCCAGGGAAACGGAAUGAGCCAACGCCAUUUGCAGCAAAGAAUAAAACUUUCCGACCACAGCCCUAUACGCGCAAAGCGGUGUUCAAACCAAAAAAAUAAAUAAGUAAAAAUAAACUGAAUAAAAAAUAUUUUUGCAUAACAAAAUAUUAGUAGUAUGAAUAAGUUUAUAACAUAAUGAAUUCAUAAAUAUAUAUACAUUAAAAAAGAAAAAUGUAAAAUUAAAUUUGCAAACAUGUAAAAGUACGUUUGUUAAAAAUAAAAUUUAAACAGCGUAAC
rnacentral:sRNA from 1 species